UGGGGGAUUUUGCACAAUGGGCGCAAGCCUGAUGCAGCGACGCCGCGUGAGGGAUGAAGGCCUUCGGGUUGUAAACCUCUUUCGCUGGGUUGAAAGGCCAUGCUUUGGGUGUGGUUGAUUUGAACUGGUAAAGAAGUACCGGCUAACUACGUGCCAGCAGCCGCGGUAAUACGUAGGGUACUAGCGUUGUCUGGAUUUAUUGGGCGUAAAGGGCUUGUAGGUGGUUUGUCGCGUCUGUCGUGAAAUCCUGUGGCUUAACCAUGGGCUUGCGGUGGGUACGGGCAGGCUUGAGUGCGGUAGGGGAGACUGGAAUUCCUGGUGUAGCGGUGGAAUGCGCAGAUAUCAGGAGGAACACCGGUGGCGAAGGCGGGUCUCUGGGCCGUUACUGACACUGAGGAGCGAAAGCGUGGGGAGCGAACAGG
rnacentral:rRNA from 1 species